rnacentral:rRNA from 1 species
UCGACGGCAGCGCGGGGGGUAACUCCUGGCGGCGAGUGGCGAACGGGUGAGUAAUAUAUCGGAACGUGCCCUGGAGUGGGGGAUAACUAGUCGAAAGAUUAGCUAAUACCGCAUACGAUCUACGGAUGAAAGUGGGGGAUUCGCAAGAACCUCAUGCUCGUGGAGCGGCCGAUAUCUGAUUAGCUAGUUGGUAGGGUAAAAGCCUACCAAGGCGACGAUCAGUAGCUGGUUUGAGAGAACGACCAGCCACACUGGGACUGAGACACGGCCCAGACUCCUACGGGAGGCAGCAGUGGGGAAUUUUGGACAAUGGGGGCAACCCUGAUCCAGCAAUGCCGCGUGUGUGAAGAAGGCCUUCGGGUUGUAAAGCACUUUUGUCAGGGAAGAAACGGUGAGGGCUAAUAUCCUUUGCUAAUGACGGUACCUGAAGAAUAAGCACCGGCUAACUACGUGCCAGCAGCCGCGGUAAUACGUAGGGUGCAAGCGUUAAUCGGAAUUACUGGGCGUAAAGCGUGCGCAGGCGGUUGUGUAAGUCAGAUGUGAAAUCCCCGGGCUCAACCUGGGAAUUGCAUUUGAGACUGCACGGCUAGAGUGUGUCAGAGGGGGGUAGAAUUCCACGUGUAGCAGUGAAAUGCGUA